UCCAGUGACGAUGGCAAAGAGGCCACACCCGUUCCCAUCCCGAACACGGCAGUUAAGCUCUUUUGCGCCGAUGGUAGUUGGGGGUUUCCCCCUGUGAGAGUAGGACGUCGCUGGUC
rnacentral:rRNA from 1 species